GGCUAAAUACUCCUUGGCAACCGAUAGUGAACUAGUACCGCGAGGGAAAGGCGAAAAGAACCCCUGUUAGGGGAGUGAAAUAGAUCCUGAAACCAUAUGCCUACAAUGUGUAGGAGCCGCGCGAGCGGUGACUGCUUGCCUUUUGCAUAAUGAGUCUGCGAGUUAUUGUCAGUGGCCAGCCUAAGGUGUUCUGCACCGGAGGCGAAGGGAAACCGAGUGCCAAUAGCGCGACCAAGUCGCUGGCAAUAGACCCGAAGCGGAGGUGAUCUACUCUUGAGCAGGUUGAAGUUGAGGUAACACUCAAUGAAGGACCGAACUCGUGGAUGUUGAAAAAUCCUGAGAUGACUUGAGAGUAGGAGCGAAAGACUAAUCAAACCCCGUGAUAGCUGGUUCUCUCCGAAAUCGCUUGAGGGCGAGUCUUAUGGAAGUACCCAGUAGAGGUAGAGCACUGAAUGGCUUAGGGGCCCCACCAGGCUGCCAAAACCAAUCAAACUCCGAAUUCUAUUGGUCUCAGUAUCAUAGGAAUCAGGCCGUAGGGGAUAAGCUUUACGGCCGAGAGGGCAACAGCCCAGACCAUCAGCUAAGGUGCCUAAAUGUGAUUAAGUGGAAAGGAUGUGACGUUGCUUAGACAGUGAGGAUGUUGGCUUAGAGGCAGCCAUCAUUUAAACAGUGCGUAAUAGCUGACUCAUCGAGCGAUGUCGCGCCGAAAAUGAUUGGCGAUUAAAUCACAUACCGAAGCUAUGGAUUCACGACCGGUUCGCCGGACGUGAGUGGUAGGAGAGCGUAAUCAACGCAGCGAAGCCGGACGGAAACGAACGGUGGAGCGUUGAUUAGUGAGAAUGCAGACACGAGUAGCGAUAAACCAGAUGAGAAUUCUGGUCGCCGUAAACCCAAGGUUUCCUGGGCCAGGUUCGUCCCCCCAGGGUUAGCCGGGAGCUAAGAUGAGGCCGUAAGGCGUAAUCGAUGCACAGCAGGUUAAAUAUUCCUGCGCCACCGACAUUUUACCAACAGGGACGCAUCAGAAAACAUCAACUAGGCAAUCGAAUGCUGAGCUUAGGCUUCGGCCGAAGCGUAUUGGUGGAGAAGGUGCCGAGAAAAGCUGUUGGGUAUACUAAGGUGCCCGUACCGUAAACCGACACAGGUGGGUGAGUGUAAGCGCACUCAGGCGCGCGAGAGAAACCUCUCUAAGGAACUCGGCACAUUAGCCCCGUAACUUCGGGAGAAGGGGUGCCCACUUCGGUGGGUCUCAGUAAAUUGCGUUUAGCGACUGUUUAACAAAAACACAGCACUCUGCAAAGUCGUCAAGACGACGUAUAGGGUGUGACACGUGACCAAUGCGGAAAGAUCAAACCAUGAGGUUAGCCGCAAGGCGAAGCUUCGUGGCCAAGUCCCCGUGAAUGUCGGCCGUAACUAUAACGGUCCUAAGGUAGCGAAAUUCCUUGUCGGGUAAGUUCCGACCUGCACGAAUGGCGUAACGACUUGGGCGCUGUCU
rnacentral:rRNA from 1 species